UUUUAGUGUUUUGGGAAGUCGGUUUAAUUUUUUUGUAAAAAAGUUUUUUAUUUAAAGCUUUUCAGUGAUACGAAUAGUUGUCACUAUCCAUACAAGUGGGAAGUUCUCAUCAAUACAAAGAAUAUGAGUCCAAACGAGGUAUUUUACAUAUUCAGUUGUCGAGUUCCCUCGACUUUCUCUGGUCUCCAUCAUCAGGUCAGCUCCAAACCUUCACUGUUGCAUAGGUCUUGUCAAUACGAAUAAUUUAAGCCCAAACACGAGGUAGUUUACAUAUUCAGUUGUCGAGUUCCCUCGACUUUCUCUGGUCUCCAUCAUCAAGUCAGCUCUAAAUCUUCACAGUUGAAUAGUGCUUUUAGGCGUACACCUGAGUGUCAAGUUUUUACUCUAUGUAUGCCUACAACUUUUGAAGGUUGCCCUCGAUUUCUCAGGGUUUCCAUCACCAGAUCCUGACCUAAUGAAUAUGGGACCAACUGGCAGCUAUUCCGAGUCGAACAAAAAAAGAAUCACGUAAAUCGGUUUAUAAACCUCGGAGUAAUCGAUGUGUAUGUGUAACCUCCUCCUUUUUGGGAAGUCGGUUAAAAAUGGAAUAAUUUUAUCAAAUUAGUGUAUUGUCAUCGGUCCUCAAUAAAUCUACAAAGUUUGAACGAAAUCUGGCCGUUUAAAGUGGGUCAAAAUUGCGCCCAAAGAAGUCGGUUACAAACAAACAUACAGGUGAAGCUAAUAAAAAGCGUGUAAAAA
rnacentral:lncRNA from 1 species